UACGGAGGGGGCUAGCGUUGUUCGGAAUUACUGGGCGUAAAGCGCACGUAGGCGGAUUGAUAAGUUGGGGGUGAAAGCCCAAGGCUCAACCUUGGAAUUGCCUUCAAUACUGUCAGUCUAGAGUCCGGAAGAGGUGAGUGGAAUUCCUAGUGUAGAGGUGAAAUUCGUAGAUAUUAGGAAGAACACCAGUGGCGAAGGCGGCUCACUGGUCCGGUACUGACGCUGAGGUGCGAAAGCGUGGGGAGCAAACAGG
rnacentral:rRNA from 1 species